GGCUUGAUAGCUUAGUUGGUAAAGCGCUCGUCUAGCAUACAAGAAUCCUGGGUUCAAAUCCCAGCCGAGCAC
rnacentral:tRNA from 1 species